rnacentral:rRNA from 1 species
UACGUAGGGGGCAAGCGUUGUCCGGAUUUAUUGGGCGUAAAGCGCUCGCAGGUGGUCCGUCGCGUCGUGCGUGAAAGACCCCGGCUCAACUGGGGAGGGUCGUGCGAUACGGGCGGACUGGAGGCCAGUAGGGGGAUGCGGAAUUCCGGGUGUAGUGGUGGAAUGCGUAGAGAUCCGGAGGAACACCAGCGGCGAAGGCGGCAUCCUGGACUGGUCCUGACACUCAGGAGCGAAAGCGUGGGUAGCAAACAGG